rnacentral:misc_RNA from 1 species
ACCUUCCCUAGAUUCAACUUUCACUAGCUUAAUAUAAUACUACACGGUUGCUUGCUAAAUGCUAAACUCUGUCCUCUAUUCGAAGGUGCUUAGCUUUUUCUCCUAUAAGAUAGGAUUUGUCUCCAUAAGAAACCGUCUUGUCCUUGUCAUGUUUGGGAUCCUGUUCCUAUCCAUUUAAUUGGGGAUUAAGUUGCUAAUCAAUUUUGG